rnacentral:rRNA from 1 species
AACGAACGCUGGCGGCAGGCUUAACACAUGCAAGUCGAACGCCCCGCAAGGGGAGUGGCAGACGGGGGAGGAACGCGGGGGGAUCUACCUAGUUCUACGGAACAACAGUUGGAAACGACUGCUAAUACCGUAUACGCACUACGGUGCAAAGAUUUAUCGGAAUUAGAUGAGCCCGCGUAAGAUUAGCUAGUUGGUGGGGUAAUGGCCUACCAAGGCGACGAUCUUUAGCUGGUCUGACAGGAUGAUCAGCCACACUGGGACUGAGACACGGCCCAGACUCCUACGGGAGGCAGCAGUGGGGAAUAUUGGACAAUGGGCGCAAGCCUGAUCCAGCCAUGCCGCGUGAGUGAUGAAGGCCUUAGGGUUGUAAAGCUCUUUCACCGAUGAAGAUAAUGACGGUAGUCGGAGAAGAAGCCCCGGCUAACUUCGUGCCAGCCGCCGCGGUAACAC